rnacentral:rRNA from 1 species
AGUGAACGCUGGCGGUAGGCCUAACACAUGCAAGUCGAACGGCAGCACAGAGGAGCUUGCUCCUUGGGUGGCGAGUGGCGGACGGGUGAGGAAUACAUCGGAAUCUACUCUGUCGUGGGGGAUAACGUAGGGAAACUUACGCUAAUACCUCAUACGACCUACGGGUGAAAGCAGGGGACCUUCGGGCCUUGCGCGAUUGAAUGAGCCGAUGUCGGAUUAGCUAGUUGGCGGGGUAAAGGCCCACCAAGGCGACGAUCCGUAGCUGGUCUGAGAGGAUGAUCAGCCACACUGGAACUGAGACACGGUCCAGACUCCUACGGGAGGCAGCAGUGGGGAAUAUUGGACAAUGGGCGCAAGCCUGAUCCAGCCAUACCGCGUGGGUGAAGAAGGCCUUCGGGUUGUAAAGCCCUUUUGUUGGGAAAGAAAUCCAGCUGGCUAAUACCCUGUUGGGAUGACGGUACCCAAAGAAUAAGCACCGGCUAACUUCGUGCCAGCCGCCGCAGUAA